UACGGGGGGGGCAAGCGUUGUUCGGAAUUACUGGGUGUAAAGGGCUCGUAGGUGGCCAACUAAGUCAGACGUGAAAUCCCUCGGCUUAACCGGGGAACUGCGUCUGAUACUGGAUGGCUUGAGUUUGGGAGAGGGACGCGGAAUUCCAGGUGUAGCGGUGAAAUGCGUAGAUAUCUGGAGGAACACCGGUGGCGAAGGCGGCGUCCUGGACCAACACUGACACUGAGGAGCGAAAGCCAGGGGAGCAAACGGG
rnacentral:rRNA from 1 species